GACGAACGCUGGCGGCGUGCUUAACACAUGCAAGUCGAGCGGUAAGGCCCUUUCGGGGGUACACGAGCGGCGAACGGGUGAGUAACACGUGGGCGACCUGCCCUCAGCUCUGGGAUAAGCCUGGGAAACCGGGUCUAAUACUGGAUAUGACUCCAUGACGCAUGUUGUGGGGUGGAAAGCCUUGUGCGGCUGAGGAUGGGCCCGCGGCCUAUCAGCUUGUUGGUGGGGNGAUGGCCUACCAAGGCGACGACGGGUAGCCGGCCUGAGAGGGCGACCGGCCACACUGGGACUGAGACACGGCCCAGACUCCUACGGGAGGCAGCAGUGGGGAAUCUUGCGCAAUGGGCGAAAGCCUGACGCAGCGACGCCGCGUGAGGGAUGACGGCCU
rnacentral:rRNA from 1 species